CAGGGAUGGUGGCAAGAGCCUGGGGCAGAGACGGCAGAGCAGCGGGCCCAGAGGACGCAAGAAAGACCAACAGCCUACAGGCCCGGGUGGCACAGAUUACAGCCCAGGUGAACAAGGAGGCUUGCUGGCCCUAAUCUUGUGGGCUGCGUCCCGCGGGCUGGUGUUGGCGGGCAUCCUGCAGUCUUAUAUUUCAGGCUCCACGGCCUCAGAUCCAUCAACUAUCUCUCACGCAACAGGAUUCUUCUACCACUGUCCUUAUGGAAUUUGCCAUUGGCCGUCUGAUUAAAAUGUGCUCUUGAAAAUGAAACAUA